GGCAAAGAGAGAAAUUAGGCGAGAAAGAAAAGGGAGGUCAGCAGCUUGAAAGAAUUUGCAUUUUAAUAACUGCCCAGUCCUCACCUGUUGUUUUUUUUUUUAAUAAUUAAUGUAGGUGAAUAAACCUCCAUUUCUAAGUUCUAGGUGGACGUGUGGUAGGAUAUCCUGAGUGUUAAAUCAUCUUCUCUCAGACAAGAUAGGCAAAGGCAGAAAAAGGAUUCAUAGAAAUAUCUUCAUGGUGAAAUUAGUACCCUUCCACACUGAGUAAAUUUACCCACUGCUUUUAGUGCGUGUCCUCACGCCGUCCUUGUUAGUCUGAGAUCAUUGUAAAUGUCCCCUUGUCACCUUAAGUUCUGAAUUCCAUUAGCAUCAGACCCCCCUGUCCCCCAAAUGUAAAAUGACAAACUUUUUUUUUAAAGGGCAAAAUCUCAGCGCUUUCCAUGGAACCCAAAGUUUUUUGACAGUAUUUAAAAACAAAACAAAACAAAAAAAUAGAAAGGAAGAACCACGCAAGGCACCUCCCAUAUCAUUGCCGCUAUAUAAAUUCCACUAUAGACAGAAAUUAUACAUUCUCGAGGCACAGAUGGGCUGGUCUGUCAUUACCACCGCCUGGUACUUGUUGGAACACACGGCCUAUUUUAAUUGUGGAGUCAACAAUUUCGGAGAACUGAGGUCAAAAUAAACACGGUGCAUUUACGCUGAGGAGCAAACCUCUCCCACGGUCUUGUGGAAGGGCUGGCGGAACACUGUCACCCUGAUAAAUGCUGCCUAAGGUUUGGUCUUCAGACACACGUGUGUAUGCCAUUCCUUGUACAAUGGCUCAUGCCGGAGAGUCAGAGUGCAACUUGCAGGAUCCGGUUCUCUCCCUCCACCACGUGGCGUCCAAGGAUCGGAUUCAGGUUUUCAGGCUUGGUGGGGCAAGCUCCAUUCCCUGCAGAGCUAUCUCACCCAUCCUGGUCACCCUCUUUUAAGACGCCAAGUACGCCGUGUCAGAGGCCCUUCCUCGUUUUAAUUAAUUACCAACUUCUAAUCUUGUUCUCCUGUGUGAGCGCCCUAGCUCUACCCUCGAAUUCCAACUCGUGGGGCAUGGAAAUUAUUGAUAUCUUAUUCACUAGAAGGAGGUUGGGUUGACGUACAUGCAAUUGUUUUGAGACCUGCCUGCAUGGAAAAAAAAAAAAGAAAAGAAAAGAA
rnacentral:lncRNA from 1 species